ensembl:snRNA U4 U4 spliceosomal RNA
UUUACUGUGCAGUGGCAGUAUCAUAACCAAUGAAGUUAAUCUGAGGUAUGAUUAUUGCUAGUUGAAAACUUUUUCUGUUUUAGCAGGUUUACAUAAAACAUGUCUUUUCUGAUAAGGGGAAAAAGAUUUAAAAAGUUCUUGGGGUAC